rnacentral:rRNA from 1 species
AGCCUUUAGCACCACAAGUAUUAAAGGUGCUGCCUGCCCAGUGAACCCUAAUUUUAACGGCCGCGGUAUCCUAACCGUGCAAAGGUAGCGUAAUCACUUGUCUUCUAAAUAAAGACUCGUAUGAACGGCCAAAUGAGGACCUAACUGUCUCCUAUGACUAAUUAAUGAAACUGAUCCCCCAGUACAAAAGCUGGGGUACACCCAUAAGACGAGAAGACCCUGUGGAGCUUUUAACCACCAUACUACCCCUAACCAACCAUCAACAGAAACACCCAAAACCCAUAGUACCUAAUUUAAGUUGGGGCAACUACGGAAAAAGAAAAACUUCCAUACCACAGGCCCGCCUGUACAAAGACCAACACGUCAAAGUACCAAACACUUGACCCAGUAUAACUGAUCAAUGAACCAAGUUACCCCAGGGAUAACAGCGCAAUCCCCUUUCAGAGUCCAUAUCGCCAAGGGGGCUUACGACCUCGAUGUUGGAUCAGGACACCCAGAUAGUGCAACCGCUAUCAAAGGUUCGUUUGUUCAACGAUUAAUGUCCU